UACGGAGGGUGCAAGCGUUAUCCGGAUUCACUGGGUUUAAAGGGUGCGUAGGUGGGCAGGUAAGUCAGUGGUGAAAUCUCCGGGCUUAACCCGGAAACUGCCAUUGAUACUAUCAGUCUUGAAUACCGUGGAGGUAAGCGGAAUAUGUCAUGUAGCGGUGAAAUGCUUAGAUAUGACAUAGAACACCAAUUGCGAAGGCAGCUUACUACCCGAAUAUUGACACUGAGGCACGAAAGCGUGGGGGAUCAAACAGG
rnacentral:rRNA from 1 species